rnacentral:rRNA from 1 species
CGGGACGGGUGAGUAAUGUCUGGGAAACUGCCUGAUGGAGGGGGAUAACUACUGGAAGCGGUAGCUAAUACCGCAUAACGUCGCAAGACCAAAGAGGGGGACCUUCGGGCCUCUUGCCAUCGGAUGUGCCCAGAUGGGAUUAGCUAGUAGGUGGGGUAAAGGCUCACCUAGGCGACGAUCCCUAGCUGGUCUGAGAGGAUGACCAGCCACACUGGAACUGAGACACGGUCCAG